rnacentral:rRNA from 1 species
UGGGGAAUAUUGGACAAUGGGCGAAAGCCUGAUCCAGCCAUGCCGCGUGUGUGAAGAAGGCCUUUUGGUUGUAAAGCACUUUAAGCGAGGAGGAGGCUACUUAGAUUAAUACCCUAGGAUAGUGGACGUUACUCGCAGAAUAAGCACCGGCUAACUCUGUGCCAGCAGCCGCGGUAAUACAGAGGGUGCGAGCGUUAAUCGGAUUUACUGGGCGUAAAGCGUGCGUAGGCGGCUUCUUAAGUCGGAUGUGAAAUCCCUGAGCUUAACUUAGGAAGUGCAUUCGAUACUGGGAAGCUAGAGUAUGGGAGAGGAUGGUAGAAUUCCAGGUGUAGCGGUGAAAUGCGUAGAGAUCUGGAGGAAUACCGAUGGCGAAGGCAGCCAUCUGGCCUAAUACUGACGCUGAGGUACGAAAGCAUGGGGAGCAAACAGG